GGAGACGAGCGGCGUACGCGGGAGGCAGCUUCGUCGACCUUCAGGCGCCCGGAGACAAGCUGGAGGAAGCUGGCGGGAGGUGGCUGGUGGCAGGUAGCUGGAGGACCGCCCUUCCGGUACCCGUGGCGCUGGUGUUCUCCCUGCCAGGCCCGGGGGUGCGCACGUUCCUGACCCAGUGUGGCCCGGCUCGGGCUGGCAGCCAAAUCCGCCUCUGCGCACGGGUAGUGAGUCCUCGGCCAGGACGCGCAGCUCCGGAGCGCGCGCGGACGACCUUGACCAUCUCGGCCGGCUGUUUCCCCCUGAGAGAAAUGACAGGAAUCUCUAAAGAGUGAGAGGAAAACUGAUGACAGGGACUGCCCAAAGAAGAUGGAACUGUCAUAGUUGGCAUGCAGUGGCCACUAAAGCCACAGGAAGAUAAUAUCACCCAAGGAAAGGAGAAGAGGGCCUCGGACAGCAGCUUUAGGAACACCAGCAUUUCAGGGCUGGAAAGAGAAGGAGGAGACUCCCCCAAAAAAGAUUCACAGGAAGGAGGAGGAAAACAAUGAGAGUUUUUGUUUAGGAUCUGCUUACCCCCCUGAGAACAUAAGCUUGAUGAAAGCAAGGACCGUUUCUUAUCACUGUUGAAUCCCAGUUCCUGGUACAGUGCCUGGCACAUAGUGGAUGGUCAAUGGAUUUAUGAAUGAAUGAACAAAUUAACAAACGACCAUGGGGUGUGUGAAGAGCAGUGAGAAGUCUGGACUAUUUGGAAAGAAGUGUCUUUCCUUGAGGAGUAGAGGAAUCUCCGAUUCUCCAACAGACUGGCAGAGGAACAAGUAAAUGGGCCUGCAUGGGAUUCAAAACACAGGGGCAAGUGGAACCAGCUGAACAAGAUAACAAUAGAGGUGAGGCCUAACCCUGGAAACCAGUCAAGAUUCCCAAAGAUAAACCCUCGGGCAGCAAGAACACUGUCAAUGAAAAGAAACUGACCUUUCGCCUUCUGGAGCCACAGAAUUCCCACAAGUGCUAUGUCCUCAUCAGCUCUGGCAGGCUCGCCGCCACAGCCCCGACUUCGACGCCAAUGCAUGAACAGCACAGAGUGGGCUGCACUAGAAGAAGUCAGAGCUUCUCCGCCUCCAGCACCUCAAAAUACAGGCUCCCCGCCACCCCAUUUUCUUCUAGAGGUUAACCUUCUCCCCAGGCUCACAAAGUUAUGAGACAGCCUUUAAGGGGUUUUCCUCUGACUGUGGUUUAGUCUGCUGCUGCCGAAGAGACCUCAGGUGAGACUUCAGCCUUUCAGAAAUGUGUUCUAAAAUCUGAAUGGAGAGCCUUUGGAAGGACUGAACAGCCUUGGGAGUCUCAGGGCAAGGGUAGUGGAGGACUUGGGCUGGGGUGGGGAGGAGUGGGUGAGAGAGGACGAGGGGGAGGAGUCUGUGUCUAAGACCGUGAGAGGUAAGUACAAGGUUGGAAAUUCAUUAAAUUUCUCGUUUAAGGUCACACAAUUAAUCUCUUUGAGCCCCAGGUUCCUCAUGUUAGAGUUUCUGGUUUUUAAAUCCAAUAAACUAGGACUUUAUUCCUUAACAACUGCUUUCUCCCACCACCAUAAAAACCAUUAAGUAUCAUCACAUAAACCACUAGAACAAUGGUUUUCAACCUUGGUUGCACAUGGAAUUGCUGGAGAAGGUGUCGACAAUAUUAAUGCAUGAAUUCCACCUCCAGAGAUUCUGAUGGAAUUCAUCUGGGAUGGUCCCUAGGCUUUGUGAUUCAAAAUAAGGAGAAUGGAUAAACAGAGACAAGACUGAAGAGGCAGAAGGAAAGGAGGAGAUGAACAAAAGACAGAACAGAAGAAAUGGAAAGUGAGGGGUUAAGACAGUGAGGAGCUCCAGAGCUGAUGAAAUGUAAGAAUCAGGUGAGGAAAGUGAAGUUUAAGAAUUGUUCCUAAAAUUUAUGCUUUUUAGUGUUCUUAGAAAAUGGCAAGAAAAAUUUGAAUUUGUUUUAAAAUAGUCCUGGUUGCUAGACUGUUUUUCAGUUCAGCAUUGCUUUGAGACUGAGCCUUGUGAUGUCCAGCUUAUAUCCGGGUUGUACAUGAUACCUCCUUCCUAAUUUGCCACAUCUAAACAGUUGCCAAACCCUGUAAUUUUUUUCCCUUCCUGCCUUAUCACUACUGCCCAACAACACCAUACAUGCCAGCUCGACUUCCUCACACCUCCAACUUUUUUCUUUCUUUGAACUUUGGCUCAUUCUGUUUCCUACACCCAGAAUCACUGCCUAUAUCCAUCAUAAGUUCUUUCUAUAUUUCAAAACCCAGCUCAGAUUCCACCUUCUCAAGGAGACCUUCCCUGUUGGCGCUUUACACAUUCUACAUUCCUUCCUGCCCUUGCGCAUGCAAUUUUCCAAAACAACAGUAAUAAUAAUGAUGGGAGUUCCCUGGUGAUCUAGUGGUUAGGAUUAGGCGCUGUCACUGGCAUGGCCCGGGUUAAAUCCCUGGUCAGGGAACUGAAAUCCCACAAGCUGCAUGGUGCCCAAAAUAUGGAAAAAAAAAAAAAAUGAUGUUGGUGGAACCAACGACUAAUAAUUAGAUUGAGCUCAUUGUGUCCAGGCACUAUUAUAAGUGCUUUGCACAUAUUAUUUCAUUUAAUUCUUGCAACAGCCCUGUAAGGUAGUACUGUGGGAACUAAGGAAGGGUAAAGCGACUUCCCCAAGGUUACAUGGCUAUAAUUGUCACCAAUAGGAUUUGAAUCCAGGCCUCAGAAUCUGUAUUAUUUCUAGAGUGUACUUACAUUUUAAUACUUCAGUACAUGACUGAAUAUAUUCCUGUCAUUCCUCUAUGUCUACAGGCAGUUUUCAUUUGUUACUGCUUCACAUUUUGCACCUCCCCCAAUUCAGCACUCUCAAGUAAAUGCUUGUGCUUCAACUAUCGUCACAUAGUCACUUAACAAUUCCCACUGCUAUCCAAAUAGAAGACAUCAGCGUGUGCAUGAUCAGGAUUUUGACUUACAGAGGUUCACUUUAGGUUGAAGUCUUCAGGGACACUUAAUCUAAGAGCAGGGAGCGUAUGUUUAUAAAUGUUACCUUUGAGUUUCAUCUUCUUCCUCAUAAUGUCUUUGACAUGUCAGCUGUAAAGCAAACCACAGAAUGUCCAUACUUGAGUGAGGCGAAGAUUUAAUGCUGCUGCUCUAGUUCAAGUGGCUGUACCUAGAACUACAGUUGUGUUUUGCCAAUCAUUGUGAAAUACACACACAGUGAUUUAAUACAGCUUGGUUUAUAUUCAGAUGCAGCUCUGUUCUAACAUCUUGGAGUGAGCAAUGAGGUUGCUUUUAAAGCAAAGGGCAAUUCACUUAGGAACAGUUUUCAGGUGAAGAAAACUAUAGUUAUAGUUGAGAAAUACAUAAGCCAAUUAUUUUUAAUUCUAUAAAAUAUAUAAAUACUUUUCAGGAUAAAAGCAUGCUUUACAUUUUAAAUGCAAACUAUUGGCCAUGAUUAAGGGCUGAUUUACUCUCCCACAUGAAACAACCCCCAAAAUUGACAGAAUAUCUGAAACAGUGGUUUGAAAGGCACUGAAUAUCAGGCAAAGAAGGAUAGUGAUCCCUGAGAGAUGUGAAACAAAUGAAGUAAAGCACUAUAAUUGCCCCAGGUUACUGCCUUGAGAGAGUUUCCAGGCCAUAGCACAGAGAGGGUGCCCAGGCAGAGCCAGGCAAACUCGAUGAGUUGAGAAAACAAAGCUGAGAGUCUGAGGAGACUAAGACUGCUGGAGUUCUUAGGAGAGAACUGCACAGAAACAGGAAGUUCUAGAGGUUUGCAGAAGGUUCUCAUUUGAGUAUUCAGCUGAGGACUGAUCAGCACAUACAUAUAAAUAAACUCUCUGAGGCCAGAGAAUCAUCUAAAAAGGUUAGAGGUAAUGGACUGGCACUCACAUAGGGCUAAGAAGAGUGUCUGUUCUCACCAGCCAGACUUGAAAACUUCAAGAUUCAUGGGUGGGGGGAUAAGAGUACACAGAAGGAUACCGCUCUGUAGUAAAGACUAAUUAGUCCUAGGCUGAACACUGCCCCAGUCCUAUAUAACAAAUCUUAAAAACAAGACCCUAAAGCAUUAAGCUCUUCCCAAGUGAUUUAACCAAAUCCUAGAACAAAGCUCCAGAAUAUUUAUAGAAAUAUGGAAAGGACAAUGUGGUCUGGACUACUAGGACUAAUGAGUUUAGCAAGGUUGCAUGAUACCAGAUCAAUACGCAAAAAUUAAUGGUAUUUCCACAUACUGGCAAUGAGCAAUCAGAAAUUAAAAUUUAAAUAAUACUAUUUACAAGAGUAUUAAAAGAUAUAAAAUGCUUAGGUAUAAAUCUGACAACAGGUAUGAAAAAACUAUACUCUGCAAACUACAAAGCGAUGUUGAGAGAUAUUAAAGACAUAGAUUGUGUUUUCAACAAAUGAUGAUGAAAAAAUUGGAGAUCUGUAUACGAAAAAUGGACCAUAGCUUUAAAUGUAAGACCUAAAACUAUAAAAUUUAUAGAAGAAAACAUAGGAGAAAACCUUUGUGACCCUGGGUUAGGUAAAGUUUUCUUAGAUACAACCCCAAAAGCACAUUCUAUAAAAAACCAAAUUGGUAAAUUGGACUUUAUCAAAAUUUAAAACUUCUGCUCUUUGAAAGACGCUGCUAAGAGAAUGAAAAGACAAUGAUAAUUGAAAGGAAAUAUUUGCAAAUCAUGUAUAUAAUAAAAGUCUUAUAUCCAAAAUAAAGAACUCUCAAAACUUAGUAAUAAGAAAAAACCCAAUAAUAAACAAUUAACCCAUCCAAUAAGAAAAUGGCAAAAGAUCUGGACACUUCACCACAAGGACAUGUAGAUGACAAAUAAGCACAUGAAAAGAUGCUCAACUUCAUUAGACAUUAAGGAAAUACAAAUUAAAACCACAAUGAAAUACUACCAUGUAUCUAUUAGAAUAGUUAAAAUUCAAGCACAGAUGAUACCAAGGGUUGGUGAAAAUGUGGAGGAACUAGAACUUUUGUCCACUGUUGGUGGGAAUGUAAAAUGGUCCAACCACUUUGGAAAACAGUUUGGUAAUUUCUUUAAAAUUAAAACAUAACUCUCGCAUGAUCCAGCAAUUUUGCCCCUAGAUAUUUACCCCAAAUAAAUGAAAGCAUAUGUCCAUACAAAGACUUGUACGUGAGUGGUCAUAGCAGGCUUAUUUGUAAUAACCAAAGGUGUGGUCCCCAGACCAGCACUAUCAACAUCACCUGGGAUGAUGUUGAUUGUUAGAAAUGCAAAUUCUCAUACCGCACCCCAGACCUACUGAAUGAGGGGGUUUAUGGGUUUACUAUUUUCCAUUUGGACUGGAAAUUGUCCCAGCAAUAUGAGAUUAUCAAACCCUUUAGGUCAUUCUGAUGCAAACUAAAGCAUGAUAACUACAAGCCCCCCGACUCCACCCCAUCCCUUACCCCAGAUGAUGCUGGUACCCCAACCACACUUUGGGAACAACUACUUCAGCACAAUGCUUCUUAAACUUCAGUGUGCAUAUAAAUCCCCUGGAGAUCUUGUGCAAAUACCAAUUCUGAUUCAUAGGUCUGGGAGGGUGGGGUCUAGAGAAUCUGCAUUUCUAAUAAGCUCCCAGGUAAUACUGAUUCUGCUGGCCCUGGGAAUUCUGGUAAAGAUUAUCCUUGGAAAUGCCCUAAUUUCUUAAAAGCAGAGCUCAUUUGGCUACCUCAGUUCUUCUCCUAUAGAGAACCCGCUGAGUGUUAGUAUAGAAUCUAGGCUUCUUUAUUCUUUUCUGCUCUAGUACCUACCCAGUUUUGGAAGAGAACUAAAACCCUUCCCUUUCCAGCAGAAAGGGGCUCUCUUCUGGAAUGUUCUCUUGGCUGCCUUAGAUUCUGACAUUCCCUUAGAGCCUAGACCAGAGGUUCCCAAUAUUAAUUCACCUAUGAAGCUUUUUAAAAAUACCGAUGCCUGGACCCAGGAGAUUCUGUUUGGAUUGGUCUGGUGUGGAGCCUAGGCAGCAGUAUUUUUAAUGCUCCCCUGGUGAUCUUACUGUGAACCAGAACUUAGAAUCACUAACUAGCUGACUAGCUUACAUGUACCCCCAGACUGCCCCCUUUUAUAUUCAUUCAACAAGUAUUGAUAAACCAUCCUCUAUUUUCCCUCCCAGGCUCUGAGCUACUGUGCUGGGGAUACCAAGAUGAGUAGGCCAUGGUCCCUGCCUUCAGGAAGUUAAAGUCUGGUGGGAGAGACAGAGAAGUCUAUACAAUUUUCAUACCUAUGAUAACUGCUGCAACAGAGAUAUCUCAUUCGGUAGAUAUUUAUUAACAAUUUACAAGUUUUAGGCACUAGGAGUGUUACAGUGAGCUAGACAGACACAAUCUCUACCUUAAUGGAGCUCAUGUCCAAUGGGAGCCCCAAGUUACAAGGGACACAGAAGAGCGGGCCCUAAUUCAAACUGAGAAUCAUCAGUAAAGGACUCCCGAAGGUUCUGAAGCUUCCACUGAAUCUUUUUUUUUUUUUUUUUGUCUGUGUUGGGUCUUCGUUGCUGUGCAUGAGCUUUCUCUAGGUGGCGGUGAGCGGGGGCUACUCUU